UAAUACGUAGGGGGCGAGCGUUGUCCGGAAUGACUGGGCGUAAAGGGCGCGUAGACGGUUGUCUAAGUCUGGAGUGAAAGUCCUGCUUUCAAGGUGGGAAUUGCUUUGGAGACUGAAUGACUUGAGUGCGGAAGAGGUAAGUGGAAUUCCCAGUGUAGCGGUGAAAUGCGUAGAGAUUGGGAAGAACACCAGUGGCGAAGGCGACUUACUGGGCCGUAACUGACGUUGAUGCGCGAAAGCGUGGGGAGCGAACAGGAUUAGAUACCCUGGUAGUCCACGCGGUAAACGAUGAGUGCUAGGUGUAGCGGGUAUCGACCCCUGCUGUGCCGGAGUUAACACAAUAAGCACUCCGCCUGGGGAGUACGGCCGCAAGGUUG
rnacentral:rRNA from 1 species